rnacentral:lncRNA from 1 species
AUUCUACCAAACAUUACACUUAUCAAGUGUAUUAAAAUAAAUGUCAUAUAAAUUUCCUGCCAUUAUAGUUGAAAUUCUUGAAAAUAAAUGGUAGAUACUGGGAAUUGACAGAAUGCCUAAUACCAAAUCAAGUAUCAUAUUAUAUAUAUAAUCCUUUAUAAAGAAUCUUUUUUCAUGUACAGAAAACAGGCAAAUAAAUAGGAACUAAUCUUAAAACAUAAUAAUUUUGUAAUGCAGGAAGUUUAUGAUGUUCUGGGAAUAUCUAGUAAAAAUAUUUGACUUAGCAUAGAGCUUUCACAUCUCUACUAAAAAUACAAAUAAAACUAGCUGGGCGUGGUGGCGUAUGCCUGUAAUCCCAG